GUCAAAAAUAUUCCUUUUGUAUCAUGGGUCUCACAAGGUCUUUUAGGUAGUUUUAUUCACUUAUUCAUGUUCAACUUUUUAGAAAAUAUUUUUCCCUUUUUAAAAAAAAAAAUUGAAACACUAAAUUGGUGUUUUCACCUUUUCCAUUUUUUAAACUUAAUUUUCUAGAUUAAAAAAAAAAACUCUAUCCAAACAUGUAUUUUGACCUAAUUUAUGGUUUCUAUAAAUAAGGACUUAAAAUUAUUUAAAC
rnacentral:lncRNA from 1 species